rnacentral:pre_miRNA from 1 species
AGUGGAAUUGCUGGAUUAUAUGGUCAGUCUGUAUUUAACUUUUUGAGGAACUGCCAAACUGUUUUCCAUAGCAGCUGUACCUAUUUACAGUCCCACCAGCAGU